UACAGAGGGGGCAAGCGUUAUUCGGAAUUAUUGGGCGUAAAGGGCGCGUAGGCGGCGAUUCAAGUGACGGGUGAAAUCCCUCGGCUUAACCGAGGAACUGCCUGUCAGACUGGGUUGCUUGAGACCGGGAGAGGCGAGUGGAAUUCCCAGUGUAGCGGUGAAAUGCGUAGAUAUUGGGAGGAACACCAGUGGCGAAGGCGGCUCGCUGGACCGGAACUGACGCUGAGGCGCGAAAGCGUGGGGAGCAAACAGG
rnacentral:rRNA from 1 species